GUUUCUCAAACCGUGCCUUCCCAUUUAUGCUGCAUCCGCGCCCUGAAUCUGAAAUUGGUCGUCCUGCCACGCCGCCUCACCGCGGUAUAAGGUCGUCCCAUCCUGAAUGGCCGGUGCGCAGACUCAAUUGCGACUUUGAGGCUGUCAGCCGCCACCCGGCAACCUUCCAGUGAACAGGAUUCUGGGUUUCUCAAAGCUGUAAUUGGAGGUAUGAUGGCGACGCCCACUUGACUCCUACCUGGGGCGGCCAUGUUUAAAACUGUGCCGUAAAACGGAUGAUUAAGCCCUUUGCUAGACCAAAAGAUAAGGCUAUUUUAGGACAAGGAGAAGGAAGUGUCCCUGGAUCCCUAAACAGAGAUGUCGUCUCUGCUCUUAACUCAGCAUCUCAGAUGCCAAAACCUCCUGUGGCCAACAUGGUGGCGCCCAGACAUCAAAGCUGAGCUUUCUUUGUCUCCGGCAGCCUGGUAAGAUGGCCGCGUACAUUUUUACCGCUUCUUACGUGCAAUGGGUGCAGCCUCUCCUAGGAGCUCCCCUAUGGCAAUGUGAAACUCUUUCUGAGCCAGCUCUAGGAGUUAGAGAGCAGCGAAGAGACUCGCUCUUAGGGAGACAGAGACAGCCUAAGGACGGGCGUGACUUCACGGAAAGGGCGGAGCCGCAAGGAAAGGGCGGGGCUGCCGCAGCGGGAAGAGAUCAGAGUUCUUAGCGCAUAAUGGAAAGGAAAUGUUGAAAGCAAGGUUUUUACCUAAGGAGGCUUGCCCGAGAAGCCGACCUGAGGAAAGAAUGAGUGCAAGCAGUUUAUUUGGGCCACUCCAGAGGUGUUAAAGCUCCAGCACUUCGAGCCUGCCUCGUGGGAAAGUCUUAGGCUGAGUCUGUAGGUGUCUGCAGUUAAGAAGCCAGCGGUCUGCAUAUGAUUGCUCAGGGGUGGUGGCUGGGUCCAACAGCAUUCACUACAGGCCUGCCUUGAAUACCACCUAGCGCAGUGCUCCGCAUAUCACAGGGGCUGGAAACCUAACAAUUUCACUUCCUAGACAACUUGCUAAAAGUCACCUAAAGACAGUCUGGUUACUGCCAAAGAUAUGCUUUCAAAUAAGAUUUGGAUAAAGAAGGGAGGUAGAUGCCUUUUUUCAGCAGUGGAGUGAUGUCUAGACCAGUAGAUGUACGCAUCUAAGUGAAUUCAUCACCAGCAACAAUUUCCAGAAACUUCCUGACCUCCAGAUUGCAGCUUCA
rnacentral:lncRNA from 1 species